GCAAUUCGAUGUGGUCUGAUUUAAUUUAUUUUUAUCAUUUUUGUUGGUAGUUUAUUUUAUUUAAUUGAAUUAUUUUAUUUGUUGUUGUAUAUUUUUUGAUUUGAUUUUUUUGGUUAUAGUUUAUUUGUACUGUAGGGGGUUAUUUUGUAUUUUAUUUUGUAAGUUGUCUUUGUUUGUCGUACCUUGUGUAUCAGGGUUCAUUAAAUUUUAUUAUUUAUUUUUAUUUCCCGAUUUUGAGAGGAGUUAAUGAUUUAUUUUAGUUACUGUUUUAUUAGUAUUAAUGAUAUUUUGUUGGUAGUGAAAUGUUAUUCGUCUUUGUUGGUAUCUGGUUUUCCAAGAAAUGAAUUUAAUUCAUGCGUCUUAUUGUAGAUUUAUUAUUUAUAUAUUAGGUUUUAAUGUGUCGUUAAGAUUAAGGGGGAUUAGCUCCUUUUUUUAUUUAUUAUAAUUUUCUUUUUAUUUUAAUUUUUGUUGAUUUUAUAGUGAUUUUCUAUUUGAUUAUGUUAAAAUUUUAUUUAUUAUUUGUUUUAUUUAUUUAUUAUUUAAUUUUAUAUUGGAAUGUUAUUUUUAAUUUUUGUUGUUUUGUAAUUAUUAUGUAAUUAGUAAAUUUGUUUUUUAUUUUGUCUAAUCGGGUUUUGAUAAUUUCUUUUGAGGAAUUAGGCAAAUAUUUGUGUCCGCCUGUUUAACAAAAACAUCUUUUCUUGUUAGUUUUUGAAGUAUGGCCUGCCCACUGAGUAUUUUUGAAGGGCCGCGGUAUUUUGACCGUGCAAAGGUAGCAUAAUCAUUAGUUCUUUAAUUGUGAUCUGGAAUGAAUGGCUUGACGAGAUGCAAGCUGUCUUAGGUUUGGUGAAAUUUUAGUUGAAUUUGGUUUCUGGGUUAAAAUACUCAGAUUUUUUUAUGGGACGAGAAGACCCUAUAGAGUUUUACACUUUUAUUUAUUGUUAUUAUUUGUUUUGAUUUGUUGUUUUUUAAAUAAGUUUAUUGUGUUUUGUUGGGGUGAUGGGAAGAAUUUGUUUAACUCUUCUUUAUUUGUAUACAUUUAUUUGUGUAAUUAUGAUCCAUUUUUUAUGAUUAAAAGAUUAAAUUACCUUAGGGAUAACAGCGUUAUCCCCCUUGAGAGUUCUUAUUGGCAGGGGGGUUUGCGACCUCGAUGUUGGAUUAAGGUUGAUUUUUGGUGUAGGAGCUGAAUAUAAAUAUUGGGUCUGUUCGACCUUUAAAAUCUUACAUGAUCUGAGUUCAAACCGGCGUGAGCCAGGUUGGUUUCUAUCUAUAAUGGUUUUGUAUACUUUAGUACGAGAGGACCAGGUGUGCGGAAUAAUUUUAAUUUUUGUUGAUUUUCAUUAACUU
rnacentral:rRNA from 1 species